rnacentral:rRNA from 1 species
UUGAUCCUGGCUCAGGAUGAACGCUGGCGGCGUGCUUAACACAUGCAAGUCGAACGAGCCUUCGGGCUAGUGGCGGACGGGUGAGUAACGCGUGGGAAUCUGCCCUCAGGAGGGGGAUAACGGCCGGAAACGGCCGCUAAUACCCCAUAUGCCGAGAGGUGAAACGAAUUUCGCCUGGGGAUGAGCCCGCGUCUGAUUAGCUAGUUGGUGAGGUAAUGGCCCACCAAGGCUUCGAUCCAGUAGCUGGUCUGAGAGGAUGAUCAGCCACACUGGGACUGAGACACGGCCCAGACUCCUACGGGAGGCAGCAGUGGGGAAUUUUCCGCAAUGGGCGCAAGCCUGACGGAGCAACGCCGCGUGAGGGACGAAGGCCUCUGGGCUGUAAACCUCUUUUCUCAAGGAAGAAGACAUGACGGUACUUGAGGAAUAAGCCACGGCUAAUUCCGUGCCAGCAGCCGCGGUAAUACGGGAGUGGCAAGCGUUAUCCGGAAUUAUUGGGCGUAAAGCGUCCGCAGGCGGCCUUGAAAGUCUGUUGUUAAAGCGUGGAGCUCAACUCCAUUUAAGCAAUGGAAACUACAAGGCUAGAGUGUGGUAGGGGCAGAGGGAAUUCCCGGUGUAGCGGUGAAAUGCGUAGAUAUCGGGAAGAACACCAGUGGCGAAGGCGCUCUGCUGGGCCAUAACUGACGCUCAUGGACGAAAGCCAGGGGAGCGAAAGGGAUUAGAUACCCCUGUAGUCCUGGCCGUAAACGAUGAACACUAGGUGUCGGAAGAAUUAACCCUUUCGGUGUCGUAGCCAACGCGUUAAGUGUUCCGCCUGGGGAGUACGCACGCAAGUGUGAAACUCAAAGGAAUUGACGGGGGCCCGCACAAGCGGUGGAGUAUGUGGUUUAAUUCGAUGCAACGCGAAGAACCUUACCAGGGUUUGACAUCCUGCGAAUCCCUUGGAAACGGGGGAGUGCCUUCGGGAACGCAGUGACAGGUGGUGCAUGGCUGUCGUCAGCUCGUGUCGUGAGAUGUUGGGUUAAGUCCCGCAACGAGCGCAACCCACGUCUUUAGUUGCCAGCAUUCAGUUGGGCACUCUAGAGAGACCGCCGGUGAUAAACCGGAGGAAGGUGUGGAUGACGUCAAGUCAUCAUGCCCCUUACAUCCUGGGCUACACACGUACUACAAUGCUACGGACAAAGGGCAGCAAACUCGCGAGAGCUAGCAAAUCCCAUAAACCGUGGCUCAGUUCAGAUCGUAGGCUGCAACUCGCCUACGUGAAGGAGGAAUCGCUAGUAAUCGCAGGUCAGCAUACUGCGGUGAAUACGUUCCCGGGCCUUGUACACACCGCCCGUCACACCAUGGAAGUUGGCCAUGCCCGAAGUCGUUACUCCAACCCGUAAGGGAGGAGGACGCCGAAGGUGGGGCUGAUGACUGGGGUGAAGUCGUAACAAGGUAGCCGUACCGGAAGGUGCGGCUGGAUCACCUCCUAACAGGGAGACAAUAACUGAUUGUGAUGUCUGGCUAAAUUAUUGCUAGGCCAUGAUCCUGUCAUCUCGAUGGUUAAUCGGUACCUCAACCGACAGAAGCGAAGCCAAAUGAUACUCCAGCGAUGGGGAACCAAAUGAGCUGUCGUGGAAGUCUUUUCAGUUCCUAAACUUUGUCUAGGUCACCCCGCAAGGGUAUCCCUGGGCCAUUAGCUCAGGUGGUUAGAGCGCACCCCUGAUAAGGGUGAGGUCCCUGGUUCAAGUCCAGGAUGGCCCAUUCGUGUUUGGGGGUUUAGCUCAGUUGGUAGAGCGCCUGCUUUGCAAGCAGGAUGUCAGCGGUUCGAGUCCGCUAACCUCCACUGACCAACCCAUCCGGAUCGCGAAAGCAACGGGAGAGAGCAUGUGGUGGUGAUUUUAGAUGAGUGUACUGAGAAAAGGACUCUAGCUUCCUUUCAUCUCAUGGUGAGCCUGAAUUUUAAAGCAAGAUUUUGGCAUCGACUGUGAUUGAAAAGACGCUGGACUCCAGCAACGUCAACGGAGACGUUGACGUUGCGGUGUUCAGUAGAACCUUGACAACUGCAUAGGUAAGUCUGUAAAUAAAGCAUCUCAUGGAUGCUUCAAAAGCAGCCAAAAGCCCAAGGCCAUUGGCCCUGGGGUGGAGGUAUGUGGAUGAAGCGAUUCUAGAGUAGGAGCCGAGACUCCACAUGGCUCCUGGUUCUUGCCAAAAGAAUCGGGUCUGAUCCUGUUUUCAUUUCUGCUGAUUGCUCGACUGGAGAGAUCCAGUUAAGCAGAAAGCGAAGAUGAAAGCGGGAGAAUCUGCGUACAACCGCAGUAAGGUGAUGGGA